GAACGGAGGAGGCACGUCACUACUUGAUUUCGCCAGGGCUUCCGAGCUUAUGAUUGCGAACUCGACAUUUCAGAAGAGGGAGGAGCAUUUGGUCACCUUCAAGAGUUCGGCGGCGAGGACUCAGAUUGAUUACCUCCUCCUCAGAAGAUUUGGUCACCUUCAAGAGUUCGGCGGCGAGGACUCAGGUUGAUUACCUCCUCCUCAGAAGGAGCUAUAGGGGUAUGUGCAAGGACUGCAAGGUUAUUCUGGGAGAGUCCAUUUCGACUCUUCAUAGGCUCCUAGUGAUGGAUGUCGGUCUCUGGGUGAAGAGGAAAAUGAGGGGUGCUCGGGGACAGCCGCGGAUUAGAUGGGGUGUUUUGACUAAGGAGAAAGCACAGGAACCUCCUCCUCAGAAGGAGCGAUAGGGGUAUGUGCAAGGACUGCAAUGUUAUUCCAGGAGAGUCCCUUUCGACUCUUCAUAGACUCCUAGUGAUGGAUGUCGGUCUCUGGGUGAAGACGAAGAGAAGGGGUGCUCGGGGACAACCGCGGAUUAGAUGGGGUAUUUUGACUAAGGAGAAAACACAGGAGUUGGAGAGGAGGUUAGCUGAGGGCGGAGCUUGGAGAAGUUUUGGGGAAGCGGAUGCUAUGUGGUCGGAGACGGAGAACUUGGUUAGGGAGGUAGCACGGGAUGUGCUCGGGGUAGCCAAGGGCUAUUCAGGCAGACAUCUGGGUGACUAGUGGUGCAACGAUGUAGUCUAAGGAAAAGUGGAGG
rnacentral:lncRNA from 1 species